rnacentral:tRNA from 1 species
UAGCUCAGUUGGUAGAGCGCAACCUUGCCAAGGUUGAGGUCGCGAGUUCGAGUC